rnacentral:rRNA from 1 species
AACGCGAAGAACCUUACCUAAGCUUGACAUCCUUUUGACCGAUGCCUAAUCGCAUCUUUCCCUUCGGGGACAGAAGUGACAGGUGGUGCAUGGUUGUCGUCAGCUCGUGUCGUGAGAUGUUGGGUUAAGUCCCGCAACGAGCGCAACCCUUGCCUUUAGUUGCCAGCAUUAAGUUGGGCACUCUAGAGGGACUGCCAGGGAUAACCUGGAGGAAGGUGGGGAUGACGUCAAAUCAUCAUGCCCCUUAUGCUUAGGGCUACACACGUGCUACAAUGGGUGGUACAGAGGGCAGCCAAGUCGUGAGGCGGAGCUAAUCCCUUAAAGCCAUUCUCAGUUCGGAUUGUAGGCUGAAACUCGCCUACAUGAAGCUGGAGUUACUAGUAAUCGCAGAUCACAAUGCUGCGGUGAAUGCGUUCCCGGGUCUUGUACACACCG